UACUCAAACAUAUUUUUAAUUUAUUAUCUAUGGUUUAUUUUUAACAGCUAUAUAGUACUUUUUAAAGAAAUGUAAUUUUUGAGGAGAUCAGAGAUCUGUCUUUCCUUUGCAUAACUGUACAUAAUGAUCAAGUUUACAAAAAUUGUGUUGCAGUAUAGCUUGAUUCCUGAUAUUAAUUUAGAUUUAUGUAUUUAGAUGAAUUUAGAUUCCAGAUAAAUAUCAGUGUUUUAGUUUGCAUCUCAAUUUGGAUGCAGAUUAAAGUGUCCAGCUAGCCAUUACUCAUGAAUCUCAUGGUCCCAAAUACAAGUUUUGAUCAGUCAUAGACAUUAGAGUUUUAAGUUUGCUCGCUCAAGACUAACUAGUUAUGCUCGUCACUUUCAUACUAUUUAUAUCAAACGGUUAAACCCUGUAAAUCAACUGAACCCUGGGCUUUCAGAGAAUUCAAAUCAGGAUAAAAUCAAGUUUAUAAAUUUGUGGCUCAGGUAAAAUGUAUGUUUCAGGAAUGAUCAGUAAAAGACACAAACAUACAUUCUUGUCAAACAUGCAUUAUAGUUCUUUGUAAAGCUGCUUUAAGACAAUUUAUUCUCAAAAGUGCUAUGGGGAAACUAUGGUGUGCUAAAGCAGUUAAGAAAAAUUAAUAUUAUACAUUAUAAUCAGUGUAUCUGAUCAACAAUGAAUUUUCUUAUUUUGAACUAGUAGCCGUGGACUCGUCUGAUGAUUGACAGGUCUGUCAUAGUUUGAUGUAAGCAUAAGCCACACCCCCUCACAUAAAAAAGCUCAUUGAUUUCCUCAUCUUAAUUUCCUUGUUGGUUCUAGUCUGAUUCAGUACUGCAAUGGUUUAUAAAAUAAUUUCAGCACUGGUGAUCUGUGGCACGGGUAAGAACUAUUACACUAUAAUAACUUCAUUCAUGCAAGAUUAAUUAAUUAUUAAUUAAACUGAUUAGGUGUGAUCUGUACACAGCAUUUAUUGUGUUAUCAAUGUUCUAAAUAUUAAUAUGCUGUAAAAUUAUUUAUUGUUCCUCUGUUGGAUUUAGGUUUUCUCAUAGCUAAAACAUCUUAGUCAACAAAAAUCACAGCUCAGCCAGGAGAUAGCGUAACUAUUUGGUGUAAGCACACCACAAAUUUUGGAAAGUACAUACACUGGUUCAAACAAUCAAACAGUGCUGUUCCUCUCAGCAUUGUAUACAUGAUGUUAUACAAGCUUGAAGUAAAGGCAACAUAUUUAAAUGGUUUUCAACCAGACCAUCUUGUGAUGUCUCUGAACAGCAAAAACACAUCCCUAAGAAUUUCAAUAAGAUAUUUCUGAUUCUGGUCUGUACUACUGUGGUUGGCAAAAGUGGUUGAUGACAUUUGGCAAUGGAACACACCUAGACAUUAAAGGUGAUACUAUUUUUUUCAACAGCACUUUUGUAAAACAGCUUUAUAAAAUCCUUAUUCGUCCUUGUGAUUUCCAAAAUGCUUCUGUGAUGCUGUGUGGAUUUUAUGAAAGACUCACAUCUUCAUUUAUUGCACAGAGAGGAGUUUUACUACACAGCAAAAUGAAACAGAAAUUACAAAGAAAGGUUUUUAUCAUCUGCCAUUCUUUAAUGCUUGUCAUAUUCAUAUACAACAAUGCUUUUGUCUAGAUGAUGGUGUGUUAGAGUAAAAUAUGACUUGUUAACAGAUCUGAAAAAGAGCCCGAUUUCUGCAAGAGACUGUUCUGAAGAUAUCUUUUAUAAGCUGCCCUUUAUUUUUGGUGGUAUUAUAGUUAUUCUCAUCAUCAUUUCGCUCACCACACUCAUAAUGAAGAUACAGAACAGAAGAAUGCAGGGAAAGGUUGCUGAACACCAUGAAACACAACAUCAUGAGGAGUCUUAUUCAUCAGUGUAUGCUGCUCUACAGUUCUCAAAUCACAGAUCCAAAAGAGCAGCCAGAAAUACAGAGGAUAGAGAUGUUGUGUAUUCUGCUACUAGAUAGUCCAACAGUGGCACACAAUCAAAUAUUGUAGCUUACUCUAAUGUUCAUCAUCAAGACACUAAUAUUGAAAUGCUUUUACUAAUGCCAUACAUUUUAAGCGAAUGUGAGCUCUGCAAUGUUCAGUAUUUUCAAUGCAAUAAAAAUUUUAAAGAUCAAAUGCAUUUGAAACUUUAAUUAAAUCAGUUUGUAUUUGCUAUCAUGAAGAUAUAAGCAGGCCUUUAUUCAAGAGGCAGGGGUUGUGAAUGGUAUCAUUUCCUGUACAGACCCUGACAGGAAGAAGCUGUUCAGUGUAGAAUGAGACGUGCUGAGAUGAAUUUGAGCAGACCAAAUUACAAAGCUGUAAAUAUACACAUCAAAACAUUGCUGUACAAUUUAUCACAACUAUAUAUUAAUUAUGCACACAUUUCACAAAAAUUUAGUACUUUGUGAGCAGAAGCAGUAUUGCCAUGACCAUU